rnacentral:rRNA from 1 species
UACGUAGGGGGCAAGCGUUGUCCGGAUUUACUGGGCGUAAAGGGCGCGUAGGCGGCCUCUGCAAGUCGACUGUGAAAUCUCCGGGCUUAACCCGGAAAGGUCAGCCGAUACUGCAGGGCUAGAGUGCAGAAGGGGCAACUGGAAUUCUCGGUGUAGCGGUGAAAUGCGUAGAUAUCGAGAGGAACACCUGCGGCGAAGGCGGGUUGCUGGGCUGACACUGACGCUGAGGCGCGAAAGCUAGGGGAGCGAACGGG